CUUCGUGCGACCACCAAACCCCCUUCCUUCCCCUCCCCCAGCUUCAGUACCACCAACCCUCCUCUCCUCCCCUCCCUCGACUCCGGCACCACCAAUCCCCCUCGUCUCACUUGAGAGCUUUUCGGCACCGGCUUCGCUCGUGACCUAGUGUAAUUAAUUUGCGCAAGGGUUCUUGGAUCUCAGAGCAAAGAACUGUCGUUGAAGCCCACGA
rnacentral:lncRNA from 1 species